rnacentral:rRNA from 1 species
GAUGAACGCUGGCGGCGUGCUUAACACAUGCAAGUCGAACGAAGCACUUAAGAUUGAUUCUUCGGAUGACGUCUUUUGUGACUUAGUGGCGGACGGGUGAGUAACGCGUGGGUAACCUGCCUCACACAGGGGGAUAACAGAUAGAAAUGACUGCUAAUACCGCAUAACCCGAUAGGAUCGCAUGAUCCAGACGGAAAAGAUUUAUCGGUGUGGGAUGGACCCGCGUCUGAUUAGCUAGUUGGUGAGGUAACGGCCCACCAAGGCGACGAUCAGUAGCCGGCAUGAGAAGGUGAACGGCCACAUUGGGACUGAGACACAGCCCAAACUCCUACGGGAGGCAGCAGUGGAGAAUAUUGCACAAUGGGGGAAACCCUGAUGCAGCGACGCCGCGUGAGUGAAGAAGUAGUUCGGUAUGUAAAGCUCUAUCAGCAGGGAAGAAAAUGACGGUACCUGACUAAGAAGCCCCGGCUAACUACGUG